ACCAAAGUUCAUCAAAAUCCUUACAAACCAAAAAAAUUAAACUCUCUCAGUUUCAAGUUUCAAUUUCUAACACUUCAAAAACCACUUUGAAAACUGAUCAAAGAACCAAUCUUUUUCAUUUCUUGAGCAAACCCAAAUCAUAAAAAUGGAAAAUUUGUUGCGUCUAGCUGACUGGUCAUGAAGACUUUCUCUCACUCCGUUGCAUUUAGUUCAGUGGACGUGUGAUCAUAUGUGCAAGUCCAUCUGACCUAGCGACGACAACAUGUCUUAGAGAACAAGGGGUACCUUCCUAAACAAUUGUGUCAACUACUUAACCUUCCAAUGCCUGAAGAUUUCCAUGAAUACCCUUCAAAGAAACAGUUCAUAAACUACCUUGAAAACUAUCCGAACAAAUUUGAAAUCGACCCACAAUUCAAGAGUUGAUAUUCCAAAUAUUUCUCUUGGUAAGACAUGAGCCUGCUAACCAAAAAAGAACGACCCAAUUAGAUUUUUUUCACCCCAGGUUAAAAAAAAUUACUGGUAGCAACUAGCAACAACAAGCCACCUACAAAUAUUCUCAAAGAAGAAAAAUAGUCAAUACCUAAUUUUCAACACCUUUUAGGUAGAAACUUUAUUAUUUAUUGGCAGUUAAAGAAAAAAAGGGUUAUGCCUUUUUACUUACCCAUUUGGAUUUGGAUUAAGGUUCAUGUGUUACCAAGAGAUUUCAUCAUACACACUCGUUGCGGGGAGAUUUCAAAUUUGUUAGCAUAGUUUACAAGAUAGUUUAUGAACUGUUUCUUUGAAGGGUAUUCAGGGAAAUCUUCAAGCAUUGGAAGGUUAGGUAGUUGACAUAAUGGUUUAGGAAGGUGAAGUUUGAAUCUUUCGAGAACAAUGAAUAGAGUAUCCCUUGUUCUCUAAGAUAUGCUGACGUUGCUAGGUCAGAUGGACUUGUGCUUUUGAUCACGGGUCCACCGAGCCAAAUGCAACGGUGUGAGAGAAAGUCUUCAUGAUCAGACGAAACAAAUUUUUCCUUUUUAUGAUUUGGGUUUUGUUCAAGAGUGAAAAGAUUGUUUAUUUGAUAGUUUUGUUUUUGAAGUGUUGAGAGUUAAGGCUUGAAACAUAAAGUUUAUUUAUUUUUGGUUUGUAAUUGAGAGGCUUUUGAUGAACUUUGAUUUAUGUAAUUGAGAAUGUGAGUGUUGGAUUCAAUGAAUAAGAAGAAGGAGUUGAAGGGUUUAAAUAAAGGAGAAUUGCAAGUGAUGGGGU
rnacentral:lncRNA from 1 species